AGGACGAACGCUGGCGGCGUGCCUAACACAUGCAAGUCGAACGGGACUAUAUUGAUUAAUCCUCGGAAGCGUUGGUAUAGUUUAGUGGCGGACGGGUGAGUAACACGUGAGCAACCUGCCUUUCAGAGAGGGAUACCGUUUGGAAACGAACGCUAAUACCUCAUAACGCAGCGGGACCGCAUGAUUCUGCUGCCAAAGGAGCGAUCCGCUGAAAGAUGGGCUCGCGGCUGAUUAGAUAGUUGGUGGGGUAACGGCCUACCAAGUCGACGAUCAGUAGCCGGACUGAGAGGUUGAACGGCCACAUUGGGACUGAGACACGGCCCAGACUCCUACGGGAGGCAGCAGUGGGGAGUAUUGCGCAAUGGGGGCAACCCUGAACCGCAGCAACGCCGCGUGUGGGAAGAAGGUCUUCGGAUUGUAAACCAUUGUCUUCGGUGACGAUAAUGACGGUAGCCGAGGAGGAAGCUCCGGCUAACUACGUGCCAGCAGCAGC
rnacentral:rRNA from 1 species